UACCAGCACCCCGAGUGGUCGGGACGAUUAUUGGGCCUAAAGCAUCCGUAGCCGGUUCUACAAGUCUUCCGUUAAAUCCACCUGCUUAACAGAUGGGCUGCGGAGGAUACUAUAGAGCUAGGAGGCGGGAGAGGCAAGCGGUACUUAGUGGGUAGGGGUAAAAUCCGUUGAUCCAUUGAAGACCACCAGUGGCGAAGGCGGCUUGCCAGAACGCACUCGACGGUGAGGGAUGAAAGCUGAGGGAGCAAACCGG
rnacentral:rRNA from 1 species